rnacentral:rRNA from 1 species
ACUGCUCAGUAACACGUGGACAACCUGCCCUUAGGACGGGGAUAAACCCGGGAAACUGGGUAUAAUACCCGAUAGGUCUCGAUUGCUGGAAUGCAUCGAGAUUUAAAGCUCCGGCGCCUAAGGAUGGGUCUGCGGCCUAUCAGGUAGUAGUGGGUGUAGCGUACCUACUAGCCUACGACGGGUACGGGUUGUGAGAGCAAGAGCCCGGAGAUGGAUUCUGAGACACGAAUCCAGGCCCUACGGGGUGCAGCAGGCGCGAAAACUUUACAAUGCUGGCAACAGCGAUAAGGGAACCUCGAGUGCCAGGUUACAAAUCUGGCUGUCGAGAUGCCUAAAAAGCAUUUCAUAGCAAGGGCCGGGCAAGACCGGUGCCAGCCGCCGCGGUAACACCGGCGGCUCGAGUGGUAACCGUUAUUAUUGGGUCUAAAGGGUCUGUAGCCGGCCGGAUAAGUCUCUUGAGAAAUCUGGCAGCUUAACUGUCAGGCUUUCAGGAGAUACUGUCUGGCUCGAGGCCGGGAGAGGUGAGAGGUACUUCAGGGGUAGGGGUGAAAUCUUGUAAUCCUUGAAGGACCACCAGUGGCGAAGGCGUCUCACCAGAACGGGACCUGACGGCAAGGGACGAAAGCUAGGGGCACGAACCGGAUUAGAUACCCGGGUAGUCCUAGCCGUAAACGAUACUCGCUAGGUGUCGGCCACGGUGCGACCGUUGUCGGUGCCGUAGGGAAGCCGUGAAGCGAGCCACCUGGGAAGUACGGCCGCAAGGCUGAAACUUAAAGGAAUUGGCGGGGGAGCACA